CACACCUAGGCUCUUGAAAUUAGGCGUGGUUUCCUGCUAUGUGCUUAAGGCCCAGCAGUAGAUACUUCAACCCAGUAAAAUGACAUUAGUCCACUGUGUAGCUGGUAGGGCUUGGAUGCAAAGAGCUAGAGAAUAGGGUUGAGCACGCCUCUGUACUUUUGACGGGGCCGAGCCUCUAGCUUCACUGUGACGGAUAGACUGACAGAUUAAUAUUUAUUUCUUUAUGUGUGUCUGGUUUAAUUUAAGUGUAUCUGGUUUAAUUGGAAUGAAUGAUUUGACUUUGACUUUGCCCAUGUUGAGCUGUAGACGGAAACUACUUAAGGAUGAUAUAUUCAUUCCUUUUGUUUAACCAGUUCUUCUGGAUAAUUUAAUCUCAUUCCUUUACAGUAAAUUAUAAACCAGAGUUUUAUACGGAUUGUUUGUUAAAGUACCAUGUGCAGGUAAUUUAAUAUUAAUUUAGAUAUAUAUAUUCCUACCGAAAUUAAAUUCAAAGUUUAAUAUAGUAUGAGUAAACACAAAAUAAAUCAACACUUUUAGUUGGUUGCUCAUGCGCAUACCGUUAGUUACCAACAGGAAAGGACUAUUUUCCCUACCAAUCAACUACGGUCAAUUUUAUUGUCACUGUGGGUUAGUGGGCCCAAAAUAAUCUAUGUCAUAAAAUAUUAUUUGAGCGCAUACAUGACUGUUCUUUAUAAUUUAUUUUUAUAAUAACUAUCGUGAGACAUACUAACACAUAGGGGAAGUCAGCUCAAAGCGGCCAUAGGAGGCAAAGAGGCCACUCUUAAUUUUUCGGUUAUUUGAAAUGAUAGCGCAACGUUGCCUUUCUGUACGUAUAACCAAACUCCCGCCCCGCGCCAGUCACUCAUUUUCAAGCGGUGAGAAUGAACCCGUGGUUCUAGUAACGACAAAUAUUUUUUUGUGCGUUUUGUUAAAAUAAUACGAGAUGGUCAAUAACUACAAGAGAAAAACAGCGCAGGCUUCUUGGGACGGAGGAAACGCCCGGGUGUCAUCACUGUGAGGACCGCCCGGAGGACACGGUAGAACAUACGGUGGCGGUGUGCCCUGGGUGGGCUGAGCACCGCCAAGUCCUCAGGGACCUCUCGCGCCCAGCACUGGUUCAGGCCAUGGUGCGGAGCGAGAGGGACUGGGAUGCCGUCUCCUCCUUCUGCGAAGCAGUCAUGCUAGCUAAGGAGGAGGCGGGGCGCGUGAGAGAACAAACCUCCUCACGCCCCAGCCGUCGCGAGAGACACUCCGGGCGUCGGGGAUCGCGGGACGAUCUCCGGCCACCGUAAGUGCGGGUCUGCGGACGGCGAGCAAGGGUAGCUCACCGCCCGAACAGAACCAGACCCGUGUGUGCGGCGCGUCGCGUUCCGCGCGCGCCUCAAAGAGCCAUCAGACCACCACAGAUGGGGCCCAGUAGGGCUGAUGCCUGGUCCGGAGCUGCGGACUACCUAGCGGGUUUACCAGGGCUCCGGCUCGAAAAGCAGGAGAAGGAACGGGGUGGUUUUUAGUCAGUAAGAGUCUGACACUCCCUCUCGCCUCGCCCAAGGCGGGAGAAGUCAUUGGAUGAUUUUCCCCCUCAAAAAAAAAGGCUUCUUGGGACGAAGCUAGGUAUAGGUAAAAACUCGUAGAUAAUGCAUAGAAGAUAUUAAUACUUAAAAUAAUAGAAGUAAGUAGAACUUACAUUAUUAUUGAUUGAGAUUGAUAAAUAAAAUUAUGACUGACUGUGAUUAAAAUAGGUAAAAUGUUGUUGAAUUUUUUAUAUGUGAAUUAUAUGUGUUGAUUUUUGA